GAUGAACGCUGGCGGCGUGCCUAAUACAUGCAAGUCGAGCGAACAGACGAGGAGCUUGCUCCUCUGACGUUAGCGGCGGACGGGUGAGUAACACGUGGAUAACCUACCUAUAGGACUGGGAUAACUUCGGGAAACCGGAGCUAAUACCGGAUAAUAUAUUGAACCGCAUGGUUCAAUAGUGAAAGACGGUUUUGCUGUCACUUAUAGAUGGAUCCGCGCCGCAUUAGCUAGUUGGUAAGGUAACGGCUUACCAAGGCAACGAUGCGUAGCCGACCUGAGAGGGUGAUCGGCCACACUGGAACUGGGACACGGUCCAGACUCCUACGGGAGGCAGCAGUAGGGAAUCUUCCGCAAUGGGCGAAAGCCUGACGGAGCAACGCCGCGUGAGUGAUGAAGGUCUUCGGAUCGUAAAACUCUGUUAUUAGGGAAGAACAAAUGUGUAAGUAACUAUGCACGUCUUGACGGUACCUAAUCAGAAAGCCACGGCUAACUACGUG
rnacentral:rRNA from 1 species